UGUGAUGCCCUUAGAUGUUCUGGGCUGCACGCGCGCUACNCUGACGAACGCAACGAGUUUAUCACCUUGGCANAGAUGUCUGGGUAAUCUUUUCAAAGUUCGUCGUGAUGGGGAUAGAUGAUUGUAAUUAUUCGUCUCGAACGAGGAAUUCCUAGUAAGUGUGAGUCAUCAGCUCGCGCUGAUUGCGUCCCUGCCCUUUGUACACACCGCCCGUCGCUCCUACCGAUUGAAUGGUCCGGUGAGAACGUCGGAUCAUGCGCUCGUCGCUUCACGGCAACUUGCGUGAGAGAAGUUGUUCAAACCUUACCAUUUAGAGGAAGGAGAAGUCGUAACA
rnacentral:rRNA from 1 species